ACGAACGCUGGCGGCGUGCCUAAUACAUGCAAGUAGAACGCUGAAGGAGGAGCUUGCUUCUCUGGAUGAGUUGCGAACGGGUGAGUAACGCGUAGGUAACCUGCCUGGUAGCGGGGGAUAACUAUUGGAAACGAUAGCUAAUACCGCAUAAUAGUAGAUGUUGCAUGACAUUUGCUUAAAAGGUGCAAUUGCAUCACUACCAGAUGGACCUGCGUUGUAUUAGCUAGUUGGUGGGGUAACGGCUCACCAAGGCGACGAUACAUAGCCGACCUGAGAGGGUGAUCGGCCACACUGGGACUGAGACACGGCCCAGACUCCUACGGGAGGCAGCAGUAGGGAAUCUUCGGCAAGGGACGGAAGUCUGACCGAGCAACGCCGCGUGAGUGAAGAAGGUUUUCGGGUCGUAAAGCUCUGUUGUAAGAGAAGAACGAGUGUGAGAGUGGAAAGUUCACACUGUGACGGUAUCUUACCAGAAAGGGACGGCUAACUACGUG
rnacentral:rRNA from 1 species